GAUGAACGCUAGCGGCAGGCUUAAUACAUGCAAGUCGUGAGGCAGCAUGAGUAGCAAUACUUGAUGGCGACCGGCAAACGGGUGAGGAACACGUACACAACCUUCCUUCAAGCGGGGAAUAGCCCAGAGAAAUUUGGAUUAAUACCCCAUAAUAUAUUUGAUAAGGCAUCUUAUUAAUAUUAAAGCUUCGGCACUUGAUGAUGGGUGUGCGGCUGAUUAGAUAGUUGGCGGGUAACGGCCCACCAAGUCUACGAUCAGUAGCUGAUGUGAGAGCAUGAUCAGCCACACGGGCACUGAGACACGGGCCCGACUCCUACGGGAGGCAGCAGUAAGGAUAUUGGACAAUGGACGAAAGUCUGAUCCAGCCAUGCCGCGUGAAGGAUUAAGGUCCUCUGGAUUGUAAACUUCUUUUAUAUGGGACGAAAAAGGGCAUUCUUGUUCACUUGACGGUACCAUAUGAAUAAGCACCGGCU
rnacentral:rRNA from 1 species